UAAUAUAUUUUAUUAUAAAUAGUGAGAAAGUAAAGAAUGUGACGUUAAGUAAUAAAGAUGAUGAAAACGAAAUAUUGCUUCCUCAAGUUAUAAUCAUUCGUAUGUCAAGAAAAUAUAGUUAUAAACAUGGGGAAUAUAAAUGUUGUCAAAGAAAUCACGUUUCUCUACCCGCAACUAUUUUGCCUACCCUAACUAACAAAGAACGAAGGAUUAAAGUUUUAGGAGAAAAGAGGUUGUUAAACCCAAUGAUUUGAUACUGUAUUUUUAUCGACACCGGAAACAUGAAUAGCGAGGUUGACCUUGAUGAGAUUUGAACUCGGAUCGUAAAGAGGCAUUUAAGUAAGAAGUGUAACGUGUUUAAUCGACCGCCCCCCCCACCCUGAUUCUAACACUUGGCACGCCACUUCCUUAUGCAUUUAUAGUUUUCCUUUCUAAUAUAAACACAAAGCCACAUAUUUAGAUGAAGGCUGGGACGUACUUUAAUUUAAUGACUUUCAAAUCACGGUUAAACAAUUGGAUACCUUAUUUCAAAACCGAAAAGUUAAAAGAUGAAGUUUUCAUUGACGAAGAUUUGAACAUUGAACAAAAAUACGGGUUUCAAAUUUUGGUACAAGUUCAGUGGGAGGAGUAAAUUGAUUAGAUCGACUCUAGUCUUCAAAUGGUAUUUGUUUCAUCAACCCCCGGAAGAAUUACAGGUAAAGACGACCUCAGCAAAAUUUGAACUCGGAACGUAAAGACGGACAAAAUACUACAACUCAUUUUACCCCCGGGGUGCUAACGAUUCUGCCUGCUCAUCUGCUUAAUGAACUGGAUGCAAAUUUUGACAAAAGGCCAGCUAUUUCGGUGGGAGGGUGAAAGUUGAUUACAUCGACUGGUACGCAACUGGUACUUAAUUUAUCGACCCGGAAAGAACGAAAGGCAUAGUCGACCUCGGCGGAAUUUGAAAACACAUUUGACUGCGGCCAUGCUGGAGCACCGUCUUUAGUCGAGCAAAUCCGUCUACCAAAUCCACUCACAAGGCUUUGGUCGGCCCCUAGGCUAUAUUAGAAGACACUUGCCCAAGGUACCACGCAGUGGGACUGAACCCGGAACCACGUGGUUCGUAAGCAAGCUAUUUACCACACAGCCACUCCUACGCAUUUUACUGUUCCUAAGUGGAACAGUAAAAAUUAUGCAAAACUUUUCUCAAGUUCUCCAUGUAAUAUACACACAUACGUGUACAUACAUAUAUACAUGUAUACAUGCAUACAUACAUACAAACAUACAUACAUCUU